UACGGGGGGAGCAAGCGUUGUUCGGAUUUACUGGGCGUAAAGGGCGCGUAGGCGGUCGUGACAAGUCACUUGUGAAAUCUCCGGGCUUAACUCGGAGCGGUCAAGUGAUACUGUCGGACUAGAGUACAGGAGGGGCAACUGGAAUUCUCGGUGUAGCGGUGAAAUGCGUAGAUAUCGAGAGGAACACCUGCGGCGAAGGCGGGUUGCUGGGCUGAUACUGACGCUGAGGCGCGAAAGCCAGGGGAGCGAACGGG
rnacentral:rRNA from 1 species